rfam:Myotis brandtii contig250665, whole genome shotgun sequence.
GUUGGGGGGAGGGGGUCCCUCAGCCUGGAUUGCCAGAGGGCGCAGGCCAGGCUGAGGGACCCCACCGGUGCAUG